AUCCAGCUGACGAGUGACAACUAGGACGAAACGACCGUCCUGGAC
rnacentral:hammerhead_ribozyme from 1 species